AAAGACCUGUAAUAAACAUGCUCUUAGGUUCGAUUAAAACAUAUAUCCUACUAUAUAUUAAUUGAGAAGUCACUUAAGUGACUUGUACUUAGAUGUCAUUUAUAGGUGAAGUUUAGAAUUAAUUCUUUUAAUUUAAUUGGUUGUUCGUAUUUGAAUUUUCAUUUAUUUAAUUAAAGUUUUAAAAAAGAAACUAAUCCUAGAACUUCCUAAUCUAAUCUUUAUAUUACCAAACAAACAAUUAAACAUUUUAAGAUAGAAAAAUUAACAUAAUUUGUUUAUAGAAACAAUUAAAUAUCAUAGAUUACAUUAUAGAAAUUUAAAUAAAUACAUAUGGUAUGAUAGAAAUAAUUAUAUAAACGAUUUUAACAUAUCUCCCUAUAUAUUAAUUGAGAAGUGUCACUCAUUGGUGAAGUUUUAAAAAAUUGUUAUAAUUUGAUUCGUUGAUGACUUUUAUUAAAUAUUUAUUUUAAUCAAAUCUAAAAUAAAAGGAAACACUAGAACCAAUUAAUACAAGUUACCAAAAAAUACAAAUAAUAUUACAAAUAGUAAUUUAUGGUAACUAAUUGCAUAAUUAUAGAAUAAAUAUAUAAUGUUUCAUCAAAUUUUUUAUUUUUAUAAAUUAUUUACUUAUAAUUAUUGUUAUUUUUUUUGUCAGCAAACAACAGACUCAUAUAGACUAUGUGAACCAAACUGGUAGCUCCGCAUCCAUAUGGACUACAAACAAGGGUUGCUUUCUUGCACUGCAUGCUAGACUAUCCGCCCUUGAAUUUAGCAUCUUUGGUAUAUGGAUGAGCUCUGAGCUGUGGAAACUUCUUUGUAGGAUCUUGAUAUCUUCCAGAUAACUUACAAAUGCGGGCCAUUCUUCAGGUUCAGAAACCAUCUUCACCAACUGAGAACAAUCCAUCGCAAAAGUAACAGUUUACUGUCUUAAAUUCCUCACAUAUUCCAUUGCCCAUAUGAGUGCAUCUAUCUCCGAGUGAAGGGGAGAUUGACACACUCUAGUAUUUCUUGCUCCCAUCAAACUAUCAAAUCCUUCCAGAGUACUACACCAUCUUUGUCCCGAAAAUUUAUCAUGUUCCUUCCAUGAACCAUCCAUAAAGCACCAUCUACCGGAGGUAGUGGGCAAUGACGGGUUCACUCGCAAUCGGGCCUGAUCAGAUCUGUGUGCAUGAUUAAUAUGCGCCUCAGCCUAAUUAUUUAAAAUAUUUUAAAACAUUUUCAUAGAAAUAAAUAUAAUGGUUGUAUUUUCUUAUAUAAAGAAUUAGAUUUGUAUAUAAAGCAUUAUUAGAAAUUUUAUAUUUCUUAAAACCCACGCGAGAUUUAUAAAUCAUUUAUAAAGAUUUUGAAAUUAUUUAAAAACAUUUUUUAAUUCUGGCCUAAAAAAUCAUUUUAUUAGAGUUUCUAAAUCAUUUACGAUACCUUUAUCAAAUCUAUUUUUAUAAAUCUUGAGCACAUCUCGUUUAGAUGCAAAAUGGUAAAUGUUUCUAGAUCUAAUUAUAACUAUAUAUAUAUGUAUAUUUAUAAUGAUUUAUAAAUCAUAUAGAAUUAUUUUACACUUAUUAUCUCAUCUAUUAAAAUAGAAGUAAUUUAAGUGACUUAUGGUUAUUAUGUUUUAAAAAAUAAGUCAUUUAAAUCAUAUAAAAUUAUAACACACUAUUUAUAUAUUAAAAUAUAAAUUAUUUAAAUAAAUUUUUGUUACAUAUACGUUCAUAGGUUAAAUCUUGCAAUUUCAAUAGUUGAUAUAUUAGAUUUUUUUUCCAAUGCUAAAAUAAAAAUUAGUUUUACAAUCAGUUAUCUUCGAAUUUUAGAUUCAAAUACUGUUUAAUAUAUUCUUAAAAUAGAUCUUAAAAUUUUUGAUUAUCAAACUAUUAAAUGCUAAAAUUUUAAUAUUUCUAAUUAUUAUUCAACAAUUAUAACAUUAUAAACACAACAUGCACUUUUUGUAUAAUAUUAUCAUCCGCGAAAUCGCGGCCAAACACCUAAUAUUCUAUUUAAUUAUAAACAUGACCUAUACUUUUUUUGUCACAUAACCUACUUAAAAAUCUAUCUUAUUAAAUUAGAAACAUCACAACUUCUUCUAGGUAGAUUUUUAAGGUGGACCUCAUAUUUUAAUUAAAUGCCUAUCUCUUAUAAAUUAAAGGUACCAUAACCGACUUCUUCAUAGUUUUAAUUAAACGCCUAAUCCCUUAUGAAUUAGACGUACCAUAUCCAACCACAUAAUUAUUAUUAAACGUACCAUAACUGAACCUAUACUGAUAUCUAUGUUAAUACAAACUAUACAGUAUCAUAAUAUAGCCGUCGACUAUGUCUUAUAACCCUGUUAAAAUCGGACUGAAUUUUAAAAACAUAAACAAAAAAUAAUAACCAACCACUAGACUAUGCCAAACGACAAGAAUACAUUAUACAUGCACCAAUUUUAAUGUUCGAUGGACACAUAGAUAUCAGAACAGAUGCUAUAAAAAUAUUUUGUUAAAAAAAAAAAUCACUUCUGAACAUCGGUUCAUACCACAAGUUCAUCUUAGUUACUCUUUUUUUUUCUUUUCAAACUGAUUAAACACAAUAUUUCGAUUUGGAAGUUCCUAUGUUUCUGUUAAUAAUUGAUAUCUAUAUUUAUACUUCCGGUAUAUUUCAUAACAGAAACAUCAAUUUUUACUUAACAAUAACAUCUUUUCUUAAAAGCCCUUUCUCCAAGUCGUAUCAAAUAUGCAUAAUAUCUUGGUGACCAUAUUGCGUGAUUUAGUAUUUAUUAUAGAUUAGGAAAUUGCCCUAUGGAAUAAUUGUGUAGUAUAUUCGAUGCAUAUGAUUAUUUACAUAACCGAUAUAGAUAUCUCGAAUUUUACUUUGAAAUAAAAACUUUUAUGGAAUCUGGUAUUUAUUAUAGAUUUCUUAAUUGGUUUAGUGAAUAUUUGGGUGGUACAUUCGUUUCUUUGCCCCAAAAUUAAACUAUGAAUACUGGUCUUCUAAAUCAUAUUUACACAUCCACGAUAAGCUCCAAAAAAAAGAAUGACGAAACUAAGCACUUUCGAUUACUUAAUGGUGUCAAACCAUUAAAAAACAAUUGGCUAAUCCGCGUUAAAGUACUUCAUGCUUGGAAACAAAACACCAGUUUUGGAGGCGACACAUUUGAAUGCUUCUUAGCUGAUGAAACUGUCAGUAUUGUUUAUUGUUAUAUUUUAGUUACCAUCUUAUAGUAUUCAUUAUAUAAUUUGAAUUUUUAUGUUAUGUAGGGUGUAAAGAUUGCAGCAUCUUGCAAAAGGAAUCAAUUUUUUUUGUCUCCAACGUGAUUUACCGGUUUGAGAGUGGAAAACUAUCGAUACUUUUUAAGUUCUAGCCGCUUCUGGACAAUAUCGCCCAACAAUUCAUCAAUACAAAUUGAUUUUUCAGGCGACACAGUGGUAACUGGAUGUAAUUUUCUAUCUGAUCAUGUUUUUCUUUCUCUUUCAAGUUACGAUGAGUUAAGGAAUAUAGAAGAGAAGAAAAAUAUUUUUCUUAAAGGUACACAUGUUUAUUGAUUACUUUGUAAUGAAUAUUAUGAUCUCACUAAAGUUUUGGACAGAUCUUGAAUUCUUUUGUCGUAAAUUCAUUAUGUAUUGUUGUUCAUACAGAUGUUAUUGGACAAGUCGUGGAUCUUCAUGGGGUUAAAACGGUUCAAGCUAUGGGGAAAGAGAAAAAGAAAGUUCAAUUUCGUUUGCGUGUAAAUUACAUGUAUACGUUGGGACAGAAUGUUGGUGUUAUGAUUACGUUGGUUCAAAUUAUGUUUCUAAAACAAAUAUAAACAUAUAUAGUUUUAUAUAUUACAUAGUAUAGUAAUAUUGUAUAGUGUUAUAUUUAUAACUUUUUCCUGAAAAUAAACCAAACUGAAAUAUAAUAUAUAUCAAAAAAUGUUUUGAAAUUACACACAAAAUAUAUUAGACGUCAGAAUAUAAUAAAUUCACUGAGCAAUUAUGUAAUAAUUGUUUAAAAAAUUAACUUCAUAAUGUACACAAACAAAAUCAAAACACAAGUUUCAUAGCAAAUUUUGCGUUACAAUAAAAAAAAACACAACCCGCUUUCGCAAAAGAAUGAAAACCCGCCCGACCGGGCGGGCGGGUCAUGAUCUAGUAUUCUAUUAAAUUAGAAACAUGAUCUAUAUUUUUUUGUCACAUAACCUCCUUAAAAAUAACUAUAACUACUUUUUAUUAACCCUCCACUUUAAUUCCUAAAAUCUCGGGAACCAUUUCACUCUAAUUCAAACGUUGGUGGAUGAUCAUAUAUUGAAAAUAUUGAAACUUCAAUUUCUAUUGAAUUCACAAUAAAAAGCAAACUAAACUGAAUGGUCACUAAAAUAAAUUAAGACGGAUGCAUUGUAAAAAACAUAUAACGGAUGCAUUGUUUGUAUUUAACUGUCCACUUUAUAUGUUUAUAAAAAUUGAUGGACACCCAAACUAAUAAAUUUAACCUAUUUUGCUAAAUAUAAAAUCUUGCACAAGUUCAAAAUUCAGCACUAAAAACAAUGUUUAACUUAUUUAGCAACAUCUGGUCAUUUUGUAAAAUACUAUAAUCAAUGUUUUAAAAAUUGGAUCGGAUAUUGAUUUGGCAUUGUAAUUAAAACAAAUUUUAAUUUUUAAUCUAAUUUAAAAUUCAAUAACUAUAUAUAUAUGUAUAAAAAUAAAAAUUAUUUUAUAAAACUUUAUAUCAUUGUUAGAAUCUAAAAAUAAAAUAACAACUUCAAAAAUAAUAUAAAAUAGUAUAAGCUGAUUGUAGGUUUUACUUCUUAUAUAUAUCCUUUUGUUAAAAGCCCAUGUAAGAUAACCGCUUUAUAAUUGUAAAAAAAAAAAUCAUUAAUAUAAUAUAAAUUUUUAGUUUACAUUUUAUCUAUUUAAUUACUAAACAAAAUUAUAAUUAUACUUUGUUAUUUAAAAAAAAAUAACAACUGUUUAGGAAUAAAGUGCUAAAUUAAUGUAACGAAUGGCACAAUUGUAUAGUUAUGCAACAUCACAAAUUCAAUACAAUUAUCAAAACUUCUUAUUAAUAAUUUAAAAAAAUAUAUUAUACACAAACAUAUAAAAUUCAUUAACUAUAUAUAUAUAUAUAUAUAUAUGUGUGUAAAAAUAAAAAUUAUUUUUAUAAAACUUUAUAUUAUUGUUAGAAUCUGAAAAUAAAAUAAAAACUUCAAAAAUAAUAUAAAAUAGUAUAAGCUGAUUGUAGGUUUUACUUCUCAUAUAUAUCCUUUUGUUAAAAGCCCAUGUAAGAUAAGCACUUUAUAAUUGUAAAAAAAAAUCAUUAAUAUAAUAUAAAUUUUUAGUUUACAUUUUAUCUAUUUAAUUACUAAACAAAAUUAUAAUUAUACUUUGUUAUUUAAAAAAUAAUAACAACUGUUUAAGAAUAAAGUGCAAAAUUAAUGUAUUGAAUGGCACAAUUGUAUAGUUAUGCAACAUCACAAAUGCAAUAUAAUUAUCAAAACUUCUUAUUAAUAAUUUAAAAAAAUUAUUAUACACAAACAUAUAAAAUUAAAUUUUAAAACAUAUAAAAAAAGAUUGCAGAAAAAUGCUACAUAUUUACACGAAAAAACAAAAAAAAUUACAAACCAACAUUACAUCCGAACUUGAAACACAGAUCAAGAUCUAGAAUAGACAAAUAUGAUUACAAAUAAACGGGAAUAUGAUUACAAAGAAACAGGUAUAUGCCGGAUUAAUUUUUGAAUUGCUAUUAUUUUAUAAAAUAGAUUUCGAUUAAGAUUUAUACACAAAUAUGAUUUUUAAUUACAAAAAAAUAUACAAAUAUUAAAUAUCCACCUUUUGAAAUGGGAGAUCAGAAUCUAGUCAUCCGUUAAAACUUAAGUAUGUUUUAACUAGAUCUUGAUGAUUAUGAUUCUUUUUAUCAUAGUUUAUCUAAAGCAAUAUAAAUACUAUUUAAUUGCCAACCAAAUACACUCCAUAUUUUCAGAUCAUUUGAUCUUGAGAGGCCAGCAAAAUUAGUAUUCUCUUUAUAUUAUAUUGUAGAGUUGUUCUUUAGAUAAGCAUAAGUGCAGAACCAUAUCAUAUAGCGUAAUAAUUGUCAAGGUCCAGCGUGAACUUUUACAGCUGGAAAAAUAUGCUUUGCCAAUAUAUACUGCACGAGCUUUUGUAAUUAAAUUAAUUUUCUUUUCAUCAAGACCACGUUUUGUCACUUUCUUUAUCGAAGUUCGAACUAUCUUCUAGAUAAUCUGAUAUAUGAGGUCAGGACCACGUGAAUGUCGGUCAGAACCACGUGAAUAUUGGAGAUGGAAAAUAUGUCAGACAAGAUCCAUUAAAUAAAUAGAAUUUAGUUCAGACUAAUUAAAACCGAUCGAGCUGAAUUGGAUUGACUUAAAGGAAAUAAAAAAGAUAUCCUAUAUAUAAGGAGACUAAAAACACAUACAGUUUGAAACAAAAACUAAGGUUAUAUCAUUUCUUUGUUCUUAUUGAUUUGACAUAAUUCUUAUAAUCAUAUUAUUUUCUUGUAAUUAUUUUUUUAUCAUCAAUAUACGUUUUUCAAAUAACCUGCAAUUAAAUUAGUGUAUAAUUUCAAGAUUAAACAAUUGGCGUCGUCUCUAAAAAAUUAGAAAAUAUUUCCUACAAAAGUAUAUAAUCUUUACAUGAUCCUUAAUAAUAAAUAAUAUUUCUGAAUGUUGUCCAAGAAAAAGGCCGAUCAAGCAGAUCAUAAGGCCCAAUAAAGACAACAAGAAAUGAAAGAAACUUAGAAAGAAGAAUGCAAACAACUGGCCAAAAAAAAACAAACAAGAGUAAAGCAGUGAAUAAAGCUCAAUACAUAAAAAAAAAAAUGUUCUCAAAAACAAAGAAUGGUCAUCGAAUGACCAAUGACAAAAUCCAAAAACCAAAAAUUAAAACUGUAAAAAAAAAGAAUGCCAUUAGCGAGAUAGGUCUCCAGAGGGUAUAUAUCCUCUGUCAGGAACCGACAUAGGAUAAAGCCCUCCUGAAUCAUCAUCGACCCCAUCACAAAUUGAUACUGACGAAAUUCUUUGUUGGGUUUACAAUACAUGGCCCGCUCAAAAAUAGCCGUUGCAAGAACCUCCAGCCUAUUCUCUAUAAAUA